GCUUGUCUCAAAGAUUAAGCCAUGCAUGUCCAAGUAUAAACCUUUAUACGGUGAAACUGCGAAUGGCUCAUUAUAUCAGUUAUAAUUUAUUUGAUGAUCACUUUACUACUUGGAUAACCGUGGUAAUUCUAGAGCUAAUACAUGCAAAGGACCCAACUUCUGGAAGGGUCGUAUUUAUUAGAUUAAAAACCAAUGCCCUCUGGGCUCUCUGGUGAUUCAUGAUAACUUCUCGAAUCGCAUGGCCUUGCGCCGGCGAUGGUUCAUUCAAAUUUCUUCCCUAUCAACUUUCGAUGUUUGGGUAGUGGCCAAACAUGGUUGCAACGGGUAACGGAGGGUUAGGGCUCGACCCCGGAGAAGGAGCCUGAGAAACGGCUACUACAUCCAAGGAAGGCAGCAGG
rnacentral:rRNA from 1 species